rnacentral:misc_RNA from 1 species
AUUUUUUUUUUUAAUUUUUUUUAUGGGAUUUGGUUUGUGUGACUAGAUGAAUAUAGUGUUCUAAAUGAAUGACUUUUGCGACAUAUUGAUUUGGGAAAUAGCAAAAUUUACAUCUUUCUGAGUUAUAGACGAUGAUUGUCGUUGAAUUUUAGAUUUUUAUCUAUGUUUCCUUGACUCUGGCACUAGACAUCUAAAAUAAUUUGCUGAAAAUAAAAAUUUAGAGGGUUAAGCAGAUGUUUUUAGGUUUAACUAAAAGAAGGGAGGAAGUGAUGAUUUUUGUGGGAUCUAAUACAUCUAAAAACCCAUAAUUGUGCUUCUAGCUGGGGCAUACCCUUUUUGUUUUGCUAGUUGUUUUGAACUUUUGAGUCCCUGGCAUGUUUAUGUGGUUAAGUUAAACCCCACAUUGAUAUUCUCAUCUGAGCUUGUUUUGGCAAUGUGUUGUUUCUUGGAUGAGCUUCAUAGUAACUAACAGAGCAAAAUGCUCAAGUCAUCAGUUAAAUAAUUGGCACGGUGAAGGAAUACUUAAAUGAUCAAUUUGGUUAGGCUAAGGAUAUUUUCAUGUUUCUUUCUUCGUUUAGCUGAUCCCUGCCGUUUGUUUACAUUUGCUAUUUUAUUUGGUUAACCUGUCAUCUUUUUCGUACUGAUGACACUAUAUUGCAACCAAUCUCGCAUCAAUAACUUGGCCUGUACAACUUGAAUUAAAUCACUGGAAAUGCAUUCUCUUUUAUAAUCUUGAGAUUGGAAAUAGCAGUUUUUAUACAUGUUUAUUUUAUUUUGCACUUAUGCUGGAUGUUGUUCUUUCUCUCCUUAGAAAUCAGGGUUCUCUAAGCCCGGGGCGCAAUGAGAUUAGAGAAGUGUUGGUUCUGCUCCUCUACUGUAUACCCGGGACAUGGUAUACAGUUUGUCCGUAAUGAUGCCAAGAUUUUUCGAUUUUGUAGAUCCAAAUGCCACAAGAACUUUAAAAUGAAGAGAAACCCCCGCAAGGUAAAAUGGACCAAGGCCUACCGGCGUUUGCAUGGAAAGGACAUGACACAGGAUUCAACCUUUGAGUUUGAGAGAAAGAGGAAUAGGCCUGAGAGAUAUGAUAGGAAUCUUGCUGAGAAUACUCUGAAGGCUAUUAAGAAGAUUGAUAAAGUCAGAUCUAACAGGGAAGCCAAACACAUUGAAAAGAGGAUGAAGGUCAAGAAAAGCAAGGAGCGGAGAGAGGCGGCAAAGGAAUUGGAGCAGAGUAUCCACUUGGUCAAACCUCCUUCAGUUCUUGCUCAAGAUCCAUCUCUCACAUUGCCCAAGAUCAAGGUCAAGGUCUCCCAACAGCAAACAGAGGAAAACCAUGCAAUGGAGGAGUGAUUUUGUUACUGGUUUAUAUGUUCUGUUCUUCUCUUUUGUUCUCUUUCUUUUCAUUCUUGUGUGGGAAGGCGGAGUAUUUGUAGAGGGGUUUCAGCACUUGUACUUGCAGUUGCCCACGUCUUUCAAUAUCAAUCAUGUAAUGGCAGGGGCUAGGUCAUUUUUGCCCUUUCAGUUGUCCUCUUUAGUAUAGCUGCCCUUCAAGUGCAGAAGGCGAAGAACUUAUACAUAGAGGAAGAGAGGAACAUGAAUAAGUAGAUACUGUUUGAUAUUACUGUUGUUGGAUAAAAUAUAUAUA